rnacentral:rRNA from 1 species
UCUUGCGCAAUGGGCGAAAGCCUGACGCAGCAACGCCGCGUGUGUGAUGAAGGUCUUCGGAUCGUAAAGCACUGUCGCGAGGGACGAAUAAGUCCUCGGCUAAUACCCGGGGAUGAUGACGGUACCUCGAAAGGAAGCACCGGCUAACUCUGUGCCAGCAGCCGCGGUAAUACAGAGGGUGCAAGCGUUGUUCGGAAUUAUUGGGCGUAAAGCGCGUGUAGGCGGCCUAGCAAGUCGGGUGUGAAAGCCCUCGGCUUAACCGAGGAAGUGCGCCCGAAACUACUAGGCUUGAGUACCGGAGAGGGUGGCGGAAUUCCCGGUGUAGAGGUGAAAUUCGUAGAUAUCGGGAGGAACACCAGCGGCGAAGGCGGCCACCUGGACGGAUACUGACGCUGAGACGCGAAAGCGUGGGGAGCAAACAGG